CACUGUUUCGGCAAGGGGGUCAUCCCGACUUACCAACCCGAUGCAAACUGCGAAUACCGGAGAAUGUUAUCACGGGAGACACACGGCGGGUGCUAACGUCCGUCGUGAAGAGGGAAACAACCCAGACCGCCAGCUAAGGUCCCAAAGUCAUGGUUAAGUGGGAAACGAUGUGGGAAGGCCCAGACAGCCAGGAUGUUGGCUUAGAAGCAGCCAUCAUUUAAAGAAAGCGUAAUAGCUCACUGGUCGAGUCGGCCUGCGCGGAAGAUGUAACGGGGCUAAACCAUGCACCGAAGCUGCGGCAGCGACGCUUAUGCGUUGUUGGGUAGGGGAGCGUUCUGUAAGCCUGCGAAGGUGUGCUGUGAGGCAUGCUGGAGGUAUCAGAAGUGCGAAUGCUGACAUAAGUAACGAUAAAGCGGGUGAAAAGCCCGCUCGCCGGAAGACCAAGGGUUCCUGUCCAACGUUAAUCGGGGCAGGGUGAGUCGACCCCUAAGGCGAGGCCGAAAGGCGUAGUCGAUGGGAAACAGGUUAAUAUUCCUGUACUUGGUGUUACUGCGAAGGGGGGACGGAGAAGGCUAUGUUGGCCGGGCGACGGUUGUCCCGGUUUAAGCGUGUAGGCUGGUUUUCCAGGCAAAUCCGGAAAAUCAAGGCUGAGGCGUGAUGACGAGGCACUACGGUGCUGAAGCAACAAAUGCCCUGCUUCCAGGAAAAGCCUCUAAGCAUCAGGUAACAUCAAAUCGUACCCCAAACCGACACAGGUGGUCAGGUAGAGAAUACCAAGGCGCUUGAGAGAACUCGGGUGAAGGAACUAGGCAAAAUGGUGCCGUAACUUCGGGAGAA
rnacentral:rRNA from 1 species